rnacentral:rRNA from 2 species
GACGCCAAUAGGUGGAUUGCUAGGCUUGAGGAGAGAAGAAGGACGUGGCAAGCUGCGAUAAGCUCGGGGUAGGCGCACGCAUCCUAUGAUCCCGAGAUGUCCGAAUGAGAAUCUUACACAUAGUGUAUUCCGUUACAAUGGUG